rnacentral:lncRNA from 1 species
GAAAAAAAUAAAGCAAGGCAUGACCAAAUUCUAGCCCUGCCAUUAUGGAUAUUAUGUUGGUGUUCAGUUUAUUGCUUAUACAAGAUCUGAGUCAGCAAGGGCACNAAACUUACGACUGCCACAUGCAAAACUACGCAGAAAUCUUUCCUGAAAACACAAAGAGCAUUUCCAUCAUACUGAAAGAAAGUGAAAAGGCGACAAGAGAGGAGCUUACCAGGAACCACGUGGUGGCCACUUUGCAAUGCUCUGGAGCUAAAGGCCCCGUGGAAGUCCGGCUCAUCGUUUCCGAGAAGAAGUACAGAAGCAGACACCAAGCCAAGCGGCUUCUCCAAAGCCUGACACAGGCUACAGACCAGGACGAGAGGGGCUGUGCUGCUCAGUGCUGUCUGUUCUCCGCCAAUAGCAAAAGGAGCCUUUGGAGGCAAGCGGAAAUUAGUCUGGUUGGAAAAGUGCUUCUGCCUGAGGUGUCCCAUUGCACCAUUGGCCGCAAUGAAACCAAAUACGGAAAUGUCACAGAAAGAGCGGAAAUGGCGAAGAAAAUCAAUGUUAAUGCAACAUGCGGCCCNGACCCUGAUGAAAUCCAAAUCAGGAAAAAGAUAAGCCUCUUCUUGAAAAUAGCCAUUUUGUGUGUCCUGAUACCUGUG